rnacentral:lncRNA from 10 species
CUUGGGUGAAGGAGAAAACAGUGAGUACAAGACUUUGCCUCAGAUCCCAACACUCAGUGUUGGGCAGCACCCAUGACCCCAGACUUCAGGCCAAUACCUACUGACUAAGCCUCUGGGUUGGUUCCAAUGCCAGGCCAGAUCCCACAACUCCAGACUCCAGGCUUGUUCAGCAUACUUGGUCUCUGGGCCCACAGCAACACCAGGCCAAACCCAAUGGCACCAGAGGACCCAGCCUCCAGACUGACCCCUUUGGAUACAUGUUCUAGGCUGAUCCAGCAUCAGGCCAGCCCCUGUGAUCCUUGGCUCCAGGCUCACCUCAAGUUCCAACUCAGCUCUGACAUAUGUCAACCCAUAUAGCCCCAGGCCUCAGGCCCAUGCCAGUGCCAGAUAAACACCCCUAGCCUCAGGCACCAGACUGGCACCUGUAGAUACAGGCUCGAGGCUUGCACAAUGCUAGGCUAGUCCUUGCAGUUCCACACUCUAGGCCAGCCCCUGUGACCCCAUGCUCCAACAGAACUAGGGUACAGGCUUUCUCUAGAAGACCCAGGAUCCAGGUUUGCCCCAGUAGACUUUUACUAGGAUAUCUCCCACGGACUCAGGCUCUAGGACUGCCUCCUGUGGAUCAGGUUCCAAGUCCACCUCCACAACCCUAGAACCAAGGCCAGACUUUGCAGGCCUAGCUUCCGAACCAACUACUGCACAACCAGCCUCUCUAAACCAAGGCUCUAGGCAUUAGGAUAGCACCUAUGAUGCCAGGCUCCACAGUAGCCCUUAUGGGUCCAUUUUCCAUGUCUGUCCCAGUACCAGGCUGCACCUAGGCUCCAGGCCAGUCUUCAUGGCCUCAGACUCCAGAGGAUCCAAAGUCCAGUACUACUCUGGCAUAUCUAGACUACAGGCCCGCCCCAGUAGACCCUGGUGUCAGGCCAACUACCAGAGAGAGACUGAAGCUCCAAUGCCACCCCCACAGGCCCAGGAUCCAAGCCAGGCCAACCCCCAUGGGCCCAGAACCCAGAUCUUCCUGAACAGACUCAGGCUCCAGGCCUACUUCAGCACCAGGUCAGCCUGUGAACUCAAGCUUCAGGCUUGACCCACUGGACCCAAGCACCAGGAUAAUUCUAGCACCUGACUGACCUCUAUAGACUCAAGCUCAAGGUCAGUCCCAGAGUCAAGUUAACUGCUGUGGAUUUAAGCUUUAGGAUGGCCCCAGGAGAUGAAGGCUCCAGGUCUACCCUCACAUACUCUUGCUCCAGAUAUAUCUCCACAAACCCAAUCAAAAUAUCCACUCCAGUGAGUCCAGGUUCCAAACUCAACCCAGCUGACCCAGAUAACAGGCCCACUCACCUGCUAAACCAAGCACCAGACCUGCCUAUCUGAGGACCCCAGCAACAAGCCAGCCCAUGAACCAUGCCAGACAGCCUGCUCAGAAUCUCUGGAUGGGCUGAUUGGUAAAGGGUUUUCGCAGACACAGUCAAUCUGCAGAGAUGGUAAUAACUCCGAACUUCUACAAUAAACAGACACCAAUACUAAGCCACAAAAAUUAAGACCAAUCGGGAAACAUAACACUACCAGAGAAACAAAAUAAAACACGAGUAACUGACCUUAAAGAAAUGGAUAUUUAUGAGCUCCCCAAUUUAAAAAGAAAUUCAAAAUAAAUGGUUUACAAAAGCUCAGUGAAAUUCAAGAAAAUACAAAGAAGCAAUUAAAUAAAAUCAGAAAAAUAAUAAACAACUAAAAUUAGAACUUAGAUACACUGAGUGGCGAUUCCUUAGGGAUCUAGAACUAGAAAUACCAUUUGACCCA